CCCUCGUGCAGUACUCACACUCACCCCUGUUUCUGUUUGGCACUGUUUCUCAUUUCUUUUCCUUAAGCACUACACCUGGCCCUUGUUUAGCACCUAUAUAUUCUGGUUUCUCCCCUCACUCCCUGUCAGAUCAUUAUCCUUCAUCCUUUAUCCUGUACCUGCUGUUUCCUGGUUCCCGUGAUUCUGACUGCUUGCUCCUGUGUCUUGUAUCCUCUG